UUUCUGUAGAGCUGGGGUUUUGCCAUGUUGCCCAGGAAUUUUUCCUUUAAUGUUCUCCUGCUACUUACUAAUUCACUUUGUCACCCUGUGAGCUCAUAAGAGCAGAGAGAUAGCAACAGGAGCUAAAAAACUCUAAGCUGUGAAAAAAUAUUAAAUAUGAAAUCAUGAUAGCUAUUAGCUUAAUUUGUUUUAAGCAAAUUGCAAAGUAAUUUUUUGGGAAUCAGUGUCCCACUGCAGUGAUGACAUAUGGGGAUUCCUAAUUCCCAGUAUGUUUUUAAAAUAAUUUGUAAACACCUAAUACAAACACGAUAUGAAAUUCAAGAGGUGGGAGGAUCACCUGAGCCCAGGAGGUUGAGACUUGCAGUGAGCUGAGUUCACACCACUGUACUCGAGCCUUGACGACAGAAUGAGACUGUCUCAAAAAAAAAAAAAAAAUUGUCCUUAAGUCCAUGUGGACCCCUGACUAGGUUUGUGCCCUAGACAGCCUUCCUCUGAGGGCAAUUCAGGUGGUGAGACUCCAGCUUUAAAUGGCCUCUAGAGAAAUUUCACUAACCUGCCUUGGUGUUUGACCCUGUAUAACCCCUUUCUUCUGGAGGUUCCUUUGGGUGGCAGUAGAUACGGGAUUUGGUGUCUGACAGAUCUGGGGACAGAUCCCAGCUCCAAAUGGCAGAGUCUCUACAGAUUACAAGCCAAAUACUUAGCACUAUGUGCUGAUCUUCAGGAAGUCAGUCUAUAUUUCAUAACAAGUCACAUGGGGAUGAUGAAGGAAUGGCCUAAAAUGCUCUCAGUAAUAUUCCUGAGUCAUCCCUCAGGGCUGGGCUUGGUGUUACGCAUGGCGGGGAAGGGAGCAGAGCUGUGUGCAGAGGAAGAUGCAGUUCUUGCCUUGUCAGGGUCCCUGACCUGAUGGCGACCCAUGGUGUUUUCAUAGUGACAGACACCACUGUAAAAGCAGACCCAGGCUGUGCAACCCCCAAAGCAGGCCUCCUCACUCACCGGGAUAGAUAGACUAUUGGCCCUACCUGCACCCACCGCUUGCCAUGGUUUUGUUGUGGGUGGAGGGUACUUUCCUGCCCCCUGGCUUUGGGUUUGCCCACGUGGCUUGCUCUGGCCGUGGAAUGAAGCAGAAACGAAAGGCUGCCAGUUCCGAGCCCACGUCUCAAGUCGCCUUAGGUGGUUCCGCGGGCCCCGUGCUGUUCCACCUUCACCCAGAAGGCCUUCUCUGGUGCAGCCACUGCUUCUUCAGCCUCGGCCCAAAAGGAACGGAGGAGCCCCCCUGGCCGAUCCGCAGGCCUGCAGGGAGCCACAGAGCGCAGCGGCCGGCCCAGCGUUCAAGCUCAAGCACAGGGCUGCGAGAACCUUGUUCCAGCCGCCGUUUAGGAUGGUUGAUUAGGACGCGUUGCCGUGGCGGUAGCUCACCAAUCCAAUGCGUGCACCUGCUCCUUUAUUAGGCUAUAGGGCCAGUGGCUCCCACAGGGACCUGAUACAACCGUGCGUUAAAUAAGGAGCUUAUUGGGCUUUCAUGUUGUAAGCCAGCGGAGAAGUCCAGGACUAGUGUGGGGGCUCCGGGGGGGCUGUGGCCCCCAUCCGCAUGGAGCCUCCCCAUAGUUCACAGGUCUCAGUCUUCCGAGCCUUCAACCCUGCGAGCCCGAACAGUCCACAGGGCGGCGCCAGACCCUCUUUCGAACGCCAUCCUCUAAAGCCUAGGCUCCAACCGGCUCCACUUCUUCAGGCUCAGGAUUUUCACUCUUCUCGAAUGGGGGUGGCCCUCCCCCAAUAUUCUGAGUCGCAACAGCAUCUCCCUCCCACCAGGACCUCAGAGCCAGAGCUGGGCGAGAGGCCCUGACCUCUGGGGUAGGGUGGCAGCGUCCGUGUGAAGGUGCGGUCCUGCCUCCCAUCCCCAGGCGCCCGGCCUCUCCCACCCUCAGCGCCCUGCUCACCUCCAGCUGAAGACACCAGGGCACCUCUGCUUCCUCCCUGCCCUCUCUGCAGUACCGCAGAGUGAGCAUAAAAGGGCUUAAUACAGGCUUUGCCGGGCGUGGAGACUCCCACCUGUAAUCCCAGUAACUUGAGAGACCAAGGCGGGAGGAUCACUUGAGGCCAGGAGUUCAAAACCAGCCUGGGCAACAAAGUGAGGCCUGUCUCUG